rnacentral:rRNA from 1 species
UACGUAGGGUGCGAGCGUUGUCCGGAAUUAUUGGGCGUAAAGGGCUCGUAGGCGGUUUGUCGCGUCGGGAGUGAAAUCCACUGGCUUAACUGGUGGCUUGCUUUCGAUACGGGCAGACUGGAGGUAUGCAGGGGAGAACGGAAUUCCUGGUGUAGCGGUGGAAUGCGCAGAUAUCAGGAGGAACACCGGUGGCGAAGGCGGGCCUCUGGGCAGUAACUGACGCUGAGGAGCGAAAGCGUGGGGAGCGAACAGG